rnacentral:rRNA from 1 species
UCGGGUAGGGACGACGUGUGGUUUAAUUCGUAGCUAACACGAAGAACCUUACCAGGGUUUGACAUAUAGGUUGUAGGGAACUGAAAAGGACGACCCUUCGGGAGCCUAUACAGGUGUUGCAUGGCUGUCGUCAGCUCGUGUCGUGAGAUGUUCGGUUAAGUCCGCUAACGAGCGCAACCCUCGUCGUAUGUUAUAUGUGUCAUACGAGACUGCCGGUAAAAAGCCGGAGGAAGGCGGGGAUGACGUCAAGUCAGCAUGGCCUUUAUAUCCUGGGCUACACACACGCUACAAUGGUCUGUACAAUAGGUUGCCAAGCCGCGAGGCGGAGCCAAUCCAAAAAAGCAGGCCUCAGUUCAGAUUGUAGUCUGCAACCCGACUGCAUGAAGAUGGAGUUGCUAGUAACCGCAGGUCAGCUAUACUGCGGUGAAUACGUUCCCGGGUCUU